rnacentral:rRNA from 1 species
AGCAGCCGCGGUAAUUCCAGCUCCAAUAGCGUAUAUUAAAGUUGUUGCAGUUAAAAAGCUCGUAGUUGAAUUUCGGGAUUAGUACGCUGGUCGUGCCUUUGGUAUGUACUGGUGUUACUGAUUCCUACCUUCUGACGAACUGUCAUGUCAUUUAUUUGGUGUGACGGGGAAUCAGGACUGUUACUUUGAAAAAAUUAGAGUGUUUAAAGCAGGCUCGCGCUUGAAUACAUUAGCAUGGAAUAAUGAAAUAGGACGUUCGAUCCUAUUUUGUUGGUUUCUAGGAUUGACGUAAUGAUUAAUAGGGAUAGUUGGGGGCAUUAGUAUUCAAUUGUCAGAGGUGAAAUUCUUGGACUUAUUGAAGACUAACUACUGCGAAAGCAUUUGCCAAGGAUGUUUUC